CUAGAAGCUGAAAUGUUAAACAAAUCUCCGUUAGCUAUCCAUAUGUUUUUGAAAUGAAAACAAAUCACUACACAUGGAACACAUGUCAUUCACUGUUGCUUUCAACUAUUCUGCCUAGCAACAUCAUCACUCAUAGCUUAAAUACAUACAUAUGCCUGUAUGUGGCAAAUGUGUCUGGUUACUUAAUCGUGAAAGCAAACACUUUAGUUUUAUUGUAGCUCACACAUACUCCACAAUAAAAACACAUUGGAAUACAUAAUGUGUUACCUUAUAGCUUUGUUCAAACAAACAUAGUAAUGUUUUUAUAUGUAUUUUGCCAUGUUACCUCAAACACACAUGUGUAAUUUGGAAAAACAACCUUACUUUUUGCAAUAAAACCAACAUGCUUUUUUGUUGCAGCAUCUUACACACAAUGGCCCUCAUUCCGAGUUGAUCGGUCGCAAGGCGAAUUUAGCAGAGUUACACACGCUAAGCCUACGCCUACUGGGAGUGUAUCUUAGCUUCUUAAAUUUGCGACCGAUGUAUUCGCAUUAUUGCGAUCACAAACUACUUAGCAGUUUUAGAGUAGCUUCAACCUUACUCUGCCUGUGCGAUCAGUUCAGUGCUUGUCGUUCCUGGUUUGACGUCACAAACACACCCAGCGUUCGCCCAGACACUCCCCCGUUUCUCCGGCCACUCCUGCGUUUUUUCUGGAAACGGUAGCGUUUUCAGCCACACGCCCAUAAAACGCCGUGUUUCCGCCCAGUAACACCCAUUUCCUGUCAAUCACUCUACGAUCGCCGGAGCGAUGAAAAAGCCGUGAGUAAAAAUACUAUCUACAUAGCAAAGAUACUUGGCGCAGUCGCAGUGCGAAAAUUGCGCAUGCGCACUAAGCGGAAUUUCACUGCGAUGCGAUGAAAAAUACCGAGCGAACAACUCGGAAUGAGGGCCAAUGUCAUACUGUAUGGCUCAAGUGGACAUACAUAUCUUUACUGGAUGUGGACAAGGCCAUUUAGCUUGGAUUCCAUUUCAGCUUUUACUUACUGCGUUUGAUACUCACAAUCAAGAUGAGGGGAGUGUGGAUGACGUCUUGGAGGUGUGUCCAAAAUUUGGAGUGGGGGGACAGAACAUACGGACGAUAAUCUUCAUGGUGGGGUAGCCUGCUGUGGUUGGCCCGGGACAUACGACCUUGCUUUCUUUUCGGCCACAGGUUUUUUGUUGUGAUGUCUUACAGAAGUCCCACUUCUGCUGCUCCAUACUUCUUUUGAUGGACCUUUUAAUGAAAGUGCAAUUUUGUUAUGGCCAUUCCUUUACAAGCAUACCCUAUACAACAAUGGACACUUUACCUGCUUCUGCAGCAUCAUCAUCAUCAGAUGUGAUAGGAGUUACUGGCCGUCGAGUAGUACUGCUUUUUUCUAACACUGUAUAAAAUUAAAAAAAACUAUUUUAUCAUGCUAUUGUGUAUACAUCCACCCAUUAUGCUUAUAAACAUUUAUUCUUUUAGAAA